AGUCCCUUUGCUUGAUACCUGGCAGAGCUGUAAUUAGGACAUCCCCUGGGCCUGCUGAGGCUUCCUGGAAUGCUUCAAUACCUGAACUACAGGCUGGGAGAGAGAAAUGAGAGAUUCCUACAGGCCCUGCUGGGGGUCCCACCUCAUCUUUUGCUGGACUUUGCUCCUGGGUUUGCUGGUGCCUGCAGGUGGAGGCAUGCUGGAAAGGCUUCAGGCAUGGUGGCUGUUUCAGCCAGCAUACCACUCUUUGCUGUUUGCAGGGACAGGAGGGCUCCUGAACAUGGCAUAGGUCUCAUGUAUUGCCUUUCCUGACAAAAGGAGCUCUUAUUUACCAAGAUUUCAUCUAUUCCUACUGUUUAUUGCCCACGUGAAAUCCUCCUUGUCUCCUGCUGGCCUUGUCCUUGCAAGAGCUGCUGGUUGUGCUCCUGCCGCAGUGGGGAGAGAGAUGGAGACAGGAUGGGAUCAGUGGUUGGCAGCUGACAGUUUCUUUUUAUGUUUCCAUCUGUUCCCUCUCUUCCUUUUUAAUGAGAUCAGGUGCCAGAGUGCACUAGGAAGACUUUUCAAUGUGAGAGGAAGUCACAAAUGGGGUACUCAGGUCCUUGCUUUCAUCCUUGGCAGAGAGACGCUGCUCAAAUCAAACCUCUUGAGCUGUUCCUAUAAUGGGAAACCAAAACUCUGCAGUAAGGCUCACAGCUCCAAUCAGGUGGAUCUGUCCUGCAGCUCGGCCUUGGAACUCAGAGAUGCUUGUGCUGAUGGUCACCAAGAUGCAAACCCGGCUGUUCCUACCCCCACUCAGAGCCAGCUGUUGGCGUUUGGAAGUGCCCUGCAGAGGCACUAGACCUGCUAGGCUGGGGAUGACCGAUUUGCUGUGAAGCCAGGAGCCAAGGAGAGCCCUCCUACUGUAAAUGGAGCU